AGAAAACAUGGGCGAAGCUCGCCGCGCGCGAAGGCCUCGAGAAAGAUGCCCUCGAGAAAGCCACUUGGGCCUUCUUUGGUUUCGUUCUGGGUCGCAAUUUUGACUUGGUCAUUAGC